UACGGAGGGUGCGAGCGUUGUCCGGAAUCACUGGGCGUAAAGGGCGCGUAGGCGGCGCGGGAAGUCAUCGGUGAAAGUUCAGGGCUCAACUCUGAAUCGGCCGGUGAUACUCUCGUGCUCGAGCACUGUAGAGGCAGGUGGAAUUCCGGGUGUAGCGGUGGAAUGCGUAGAGAUCGGAAAGAACACCAACGGCGAAAGCACUCUGCUGGGCCGACACUGACACUGAGAGACGAAAGCUAGGGGAGCGAAUGGG
rnacentral:rRNA from 1 species